rnacentral:rRNA from 1 species
UACAUAGGGGGCGAGCGUUAUCCGGAAUUAUUGGGCGUAAAGAGUACGUAGGUGGUUUUGUAAGCGCGAUGUGAAAGCCCGGGGCUCAACUCCGGCGAGCCUCGCGAACUGCAAGACUUGAGUGCAGGAGGGGAAAGUGGAAUUCCUAGUGUAGCGGUGAAAUGCGUACAUAUUAGGAGGAACACCGGUGGCGAAGGCGACUUUCUGGACUGUAACUGACACUGAGGUACGAAAGCGUGGGGAGCAAACA